rnacentral:tRNA from 1 species
GGGGGCGUGACGCCGAAUUGGCCAGGCACCUGGCUUACAUCCAGGACGAUGGGGGUUCGAGUCCCUCCGCCCCUACCA